GAGAAAGAGAGCCAGGGACAACAACGUCACAUUAGAAAGUCUUUGCCAAUACAGCAUGAUGAAGAAGAUGCUGAAGGAGGAGAUGAGGCAACCUGAAAAGUCUGAAACGGGAAGUCAACUCAGCCAACUGAAGUUCCCAGAAACUGCAGGACCACAGUAAUGAGAAGAAAAAUGCUGACAGUGUUGAGAAGAGG